rnacentral:lncRNA from 9 species
AGAAAACUUGCAUCUUUAGUAAUUUUCAGCAAGCCAAGCCUCUCUUUGGCUCAAGUGGUGUCUACUCUGAUUUCUGAUUUGGUGGGAAUGAGCUCUGUUGACACAGGAAGUGGAGAAGGAUUGGGAUGAUAAGGAAGUAUUAGGAAACACUCAUAAAAAGCAUGGUGGAAUAAAAGAACCCUGGACAGAAACCGCUGCUUGUUCAGGGAGACUUCAGGCUCUGAAGAGGGAUGCACUUGAGCCAAAGUGGGUCAGUUCCAGGCACCCCUGGACUGAUAGAGGGCAGAAAGGAUGCUCACAUCCCAUCUUUGAGUAUGUUGACCUCAUAGUGAAUGGGGGAGAAUUUUCCUUUUGCCUGUCUCUAAGAGUUUUCAUAUUUUUGGAACAACCAUUCCUUGAAAGUCUUAUAAUAAUACUAGGACUGACGAUUGAUAAAUAUGAUAUUUAUGUAAAUUUUGAAAACAUGCAGACACGAUUAUGGAUAUUGUGGAAGAGGUUAUUAAAAUGA